rnacentral:rRNA from 1 species
AGGCAAAGCCGCGAGGUGGAGCAAAACCCUAAAAAACGGUACUCAGUUCAGAUUGCAGGCUGCAACCCGCCUGCAUGAAGUCGGAAUUGCUAGUAAUCGCGGAUCAGCAUGCCGCGGUGAAUACGUUCCCGGGCCUUGUACACACCGCCCGUCACACCAUGGGAGCCGGUAAUACCCGAAGUCAAUGGUCUAACCGCAAGGAGGACGUUGCCGAAGGUAGGAUUGGCGACUGGGGUGAAGUCGUAACAAGGUACC